rnacentral:tRNA from 1 species
GCCUGGGUGGCUCAGUUGGUUAAGCAUCCGACUUCAACUCGGAACAUGAUCUCAUAGUUCAUGAGUUCGAGCCCUGUGUCAGGCU